GAUGGCAGCUAGCUCUCCGCAACUCUCACACACUUCUCACCCACUGAAGCUAAGCAGGGCUGCGCCCGGUCAGUACCUGGAUUGGAGACCACAUGGGAAAGCUAGGUUGCUGCUGGAA
rnacentral:rRNA from 1 species